rnacentral:rRNA from 1 species
UCGAGAAUUUUUCACAAUGGGCGCAAGCCUGAUGGAGCGACGCCGCGUGGGGGAUGAAGGGCUUCGGCUCGUAAACCCCUGUCAUUCGCGAGCAAAACCUAGCUAUUAAUACCAGCUAGGCUGAUAGUAGCGGAAGAGGAAGGGACGGCUAACUCUGUGCCAGCAGCCGCGGUAAUACAGAGGUCCCAAGCGUUGUUCGGAUUUACUGGGCGUAAAGGGUGCGUAGGCGGUCGGACAAGUCUGAUGUGAAAUCUCCAGGCUCAACUUGGAAAAGGCAUUAGAAACUGUUCGGCUAGAGGGUUGGAGGGGGGACUGGAAUUCUCGGUGUAGCAGUGAAAUGCGUAGAUAUCGAGAGGAACACCAGUGGCGAAGGCGAGUCCCUGGACAACUCCUGACGCUGAGGCACGAAAGCUAGGGGAUCAAACA